rnacentral:lncRNA from 1 species
AAUACAUCCUCAUUUCUUAAAGACCACUAUGGCUGCCAAAUAGAGGGUGGCCUCUAAGCAAGAGGAACAGUGACAGGGAGACUAAUGAAUUGUAGUGGCCCAGCCAAGAGAAGAAAUGUUCAAAGGGGAGACCAAGGGCAGUGCAGCUGUGAGAAGUGACCAAACCUGGGAUAUACUUUAGAGAUAGAAUUACCAAGAAUUGUUGGCAGAUUGGAUGUGGGCUGUGAGGAGAAGAGAUGGUUCAAGAGAUACUCCUUUAUUGUGGCGUGAGCGUAGGUGAAUGGUGGUGCGUUUACUAAUAUGGAGAAGAUUGGGAAAGAAGAACUUUGGGGGAUGGGUAACCAAGAGUUGCUUUGGGAGACAUGAAGUUUAAGAGGUCUACAAAACAGUCCAGUGGAGAUGCCAAGUAAUCAGGCAACUAAAAGAAUAUAAAAUAAGGGAGGAAUCUCUGCAUACUAACAGGAAGACUCGGGCCACAGCAGGAAAUGGAGAUGGGGAAAGAGAGGCCUCCUAGUUAUUUUCAAGUCUCAUUAUCUAGCCACUGGACUGGUGACACUCUCUAAUGGUUUUAGCAUAGGAACCUCUGACACAUGGUAUUCCAAGGAAAAGACCUUGGUCUCAUCUCUCAGCUGCAGGGAGGUGUGGCUAAUUUCACAGCAGAUGGCUAAUGAAUUAACUAGUAUUCCUGAACUGAGAAAGGAUUCCAUGCUUACAUCAAUGCAUCAGAGAACAAUUGCAAUAUAGACUGCUAUAGUUUGGAUCUAGAAUCUGGCCUCAAAGGAAAGGCCACCAGUUUGGUGAGAGGGUUCCAAAGGCCUUCCUCUAAGGCCUUUGUUUUAAAGUCUUAGUUCCUAACCCAUGGUGCUAUUAGAAGGUGGUGAAAAC